GAUGAAGAACGCAGCGAAAUGCGAUAAGUAAUGUGAAUUGCAGAAUUCAGUGAAUCAUCGAAUCUUUGAACGCACAUUGCGCCCGCCAGUAUUCUGGCGGGCAUGCCUGUCUGAGCGUCAUUUCAACCCUCAUGCCCCUAGGGCGUGGUGUUGGGGAUCGGCCAAAGCCCGCGAGGGACGGCCGGCCCCUAAAUCUAGUGGCGGACCCGUCGUGGCCUCCUCUGCGAAGUAGUGAUAUUCCGCAUCGGAGAGCGAUGAGCCCCUGCCGUUAAACCACCAACUUUCCAAGGUUGACCUCAGAUCAGGUAGGAAUACCCGCUGAACUUAAGCAUAUCAAUAAGCGGAGGA
rnacentral:misc_RNA from 1 species